UACGAAAGGGGCUAGCGUUGUUCGGAAUUACUGGGCGUAAAGCGCACGUAGGCGGACUAUUAAGUCAGGGGUGAAAUCCCGGGGCUCAACCCCGGAACUGCCUUUGAUACUGGUAGUCUCGAGUCCGGAAGAGGUGAGUGGAAUUCCGAGUGUAGAGGUGAAAUUCGUAGAUAUUCGGAGGAACACCAGUGGCGAAGGCGGCUCACUGGUCCGGUACUGACGCUGAGGUGCGAAAGCGUGGGGAGCAAACAGG
rnacentral:rRNA from 1 species